GACGAACGCUGGCGGCGUGCUUAACACAUGCAAGUCGAACGGAAAGGCCCUGCUUUUGUGGGGUGCUCGAGUGGCGAACGGGUGAGUGACACGUGAGUAACCUGCCCUUGACUUUGGGAUAACUUCAGGAAACUGGGGCUAAUACCGGAUAGGAGCUCCUGCUGCAUGGUGGGGGUUGGAAAGUUUCGGCGGUUGGGGAUGGACUCGCGGCUUAUCAGCUUGUUGGUGGGGUAGUGGCUUACCAAGGCUUUGACGGGUAGCCGGCCUGAGAGGGUGACCGGCCACAUUGGGACUGGGAUACGGCCCAGACUCCUACGGGGGGCAGCAGUGGGGAAUAUUGCACAAUGGGCGGAAGCCUGAUGCAGCAACGCCGCGUGCGGGAUGACGGCCUUCGGGUUGUAAACCGCUUUCGCCUGUGACGAAGCGUGAGUGACGGUAAUGGGUAAAGAAGCACCGGCUAACUACGU
rnacentral:rRNA from 1 species